rnacentral:rRNA from 1 species
UACGGAGGGUGCGAGCGUUGUCCGGAAUCAUUGGGCGUAAAGGGCGCGUAGGUGGCCCCUCAAGCGUGCGGUGAAAGUCAGGGGCUCAACCCCUGAUCGGCCGUGCGAACUGGGGAGCUUGAGCACUGUAGAGGCAGGCGGAAUUCCGGGUGUAGCGGUGGAAUGCGUAGAGAUCCGGAAGAACACCGGUGGCGAAGGCGGUCUGCUGGGGUAAUGCUGACACUGAUGCGCGACAGCGUGGGGAGCAAACAGG